GUUUUAUGGGAUCUGGAAGCCAUUUUUGUUUGAGCUCUAACCUGAUCUCCAAUGGCUAUUGCUAGAAUGAUAUGAUUUUGUGAGUUCAUUUGUUUCCAACUCCUUUUAUAGGACGAGCAAGAGAUUGUUCCUAAAUGAUAAGGUCGCAUCUUAUUCUCCUUUACUUGGUGUCGGGCACCAGUUUUCUUCUAGAAAUUAUCUCCACUGAAUGAGGCAUGGUAUAGGUUUGAUGCUCUUUAGAAUAAGCUUUUCGGUGAUGAAACUUUGAAGGCAUAUUUAUCUUUCCAAGACUGCGGAAAGCCUACUUUGCUUUCUGAGAUUCCUUUAUUUUUUAUUUUUAUUUUUCUGCAACAGAUUCGUAUAUUUUUAAUAUAAAUAUAUUUUAAAAAAAAUAAAAAAUAAUAAAUCUCGGAACGUCCUAGACAACUUUUUUUACCUCUUGAGGAAGCUUUUCUGAAAUAGUUAGCUACAUACGAGACCACCCAAUUUGCAGCCCUGUUAAUCUUUCUAUAGGCAUGCUUGGACUGAAAGAUUCGUUUAAAUGCGGCAUCAAUUUGAAGCUUCCAUAUUUAAAUAUUAAUUUUUAUCUUUUUAUACUUAUAUAAAAAUUUCUAUAAAUUUCUAUGUCCGUAUAAAUCUUUCUGCUUGUUGAUUGAACCAUGGUUAGAGUUAACCAAGCUUGCAGAAGGACUGAAAUGCCCUUAACUUGGCCUCUAGGUGGAGGGGCAUGGGUUAAAGACUUAAAGGUCCAUUUAAGUAUAAAGCUAGGGACAAAAAUGUUCAUAUGAAAUUGAUAUUGUUAGAAGAAUAGAGACAGAAUAGUUCAUGCAUAGGAAUGACACAAGAAGGCACAAGGUCCAUUAUUUGGUAAUAUGUGAGCAACCUAACAAGUAGGCUCGAAUUUGUUAAUUUUAUUAUACUACUAAAAAUAGCUGUACAAAAUUUCACCAAAAGAAAAGCAGAUGCACAAAUGCACCCGAAAGAGGAAUC
rnacentral:lncRNA from 1 species